UACAGAAGUGGACGUAUUUAG
rnacentral:piRNA from 1 species